GACGAACGCUGGCGGCGUGCUUAACACAUGCAAGUCGAACGGUGAAGGGACCGGUUUUUGCUGGUUCUGGAUGAGUGGCGAACGGGUGAGUAACACGUGAGUAACCUGCCCCCUUCUUCUGGAUAACCGCAUGAAAGUGUGGCUAAUACGGGAUAUUCUGCGCCUGCUGCAUGGUGGGUGUGGGAAAGAUAUUGUUUCGGUGGGGGAUGGGCUCGCGGCCUAUCAGCUUGUUGGUGGGGUGAUGGCCUACCAAGGCGGUGACGGGUAGCCGGCCUGAGAGGGUGGACGGUCACACUGGGACGGAGACACGGCCCAGACUCCUACGGGAGGCAGCAGUGGGGAAUAGUGCACAAUGGGCGCAAGCCUGAUGCAGCGACGCCGCGUGAGGGAUGGAGGCCUUCGGGUUGUAAACCUCUUUCGCCAGUGAAGCAGGCCUGUCCCUUUUGUGGGUGGGUUGACGGUAGCUGGAGAAGAAGCGCCGGCUAACUACGUG
rnacentral:rRNA from 1 species